AGCAGCCGCGGUAAUUCCAGCUCCAAUAGCGUAUAUUAAAGUUGCUGCAGUUAAAAAGCGCGUAGUUGAAUUUCGGGACCAUCAUGUUGGUCGUGCCUCGGUACGUACUGGCAUCGUCGGUUUCUCCCUUCUGACGAACCAUGAUGUCAUUUAUUUGGUGUCGUGGGGAAUCAGGACUGUUACUUUGAAAAAAUUAGAGUGUUUAAAGCAGGCUCACGCUUGAAUACAUUAGCAUGGAAUAAUGAAAUAGGACGUUUGAUUCUAUUUUGUUGGUUCCUAGGAUCGACGUAAUGAUUAAUAGGGAUAGUUGGGGGCAUUAGUAUUCAAUUGUCAGAGGUGAAAUUCUUGGAUUUAUUGAAGACUAACUACUGCGAAAGCAUUUGCCAAGGAUGUUUUCAUUAAUCAAGAACGAAAGUUAGGGGAUCGAAGACGAUCAGAUACCGUCGUAGUCUUAACCAUAAACUAUGCCGACUAGGGAUCGGAUGAUGUUAAUUUUUUAAUGACUCAUUCGGCGCCUUACG
rnacentral:rRNA from 1 species